GCCUUUGUUGUGCAGUGGUCAACACGCUGGGCGCGUGUUUCAGAGGUCCGUGGUUCGAGUCCCGGCGAAGGCG
rnacentral:tRNA from 1 species